rnacentral:rRNA from 1 species
GCCUAGCCCUAAACACAAAUGACCCACUACCCCAACCGUUCGCCAGGGAACAACGAGCCCCAGCUUAAAACCCAAAGGACUUGGCGGUGCUUUAGACCCCCCUAGAGGAGCCUGUUCUAGAACCGAUACUCCCCGUUCAACCUCACCCUCCCUUGUUACCUCCGCCUAUAUACCGCCGUCGUCAGCUUACCCUGUGAAGGCCUAAUAGUAAGCAAAAUUGGCAAAGCCCAGAACGUCAGGUCGAGGUGUAGCGAACGAGAGGGGAAGAAAUGGGCUACAUUUACUGACUCAGUAAACACGGAUGUUGCAUUGAAACAAGCAUCUGAAGGAGGAUUUAGCAGUAAGGGGAGAAUAGAGCGCCCCCCUGAAAAUGGCCCUGAAGCGCGC